CCCGUUCCCAUGCCGAACACGGUCGUUAAGCUCUUCAGCGCCGAUGGUAGUUGGGGGCUUCCCCCUGUGAGAGUAGGACGUUGCCGGGC
rnacentral:rRNA from 1 species